rnacentral:rRNA from 1 species
UAGGGAAUCUUCGGCAAUGGACGAAAGUCUGACCGAGCAACGCCGCGUGAGUGAAGAAGGUUUUCGGAUCGUAAAACUCUGUUGUUAGAGAAGAACAAGGACGUUAGUAACUGAACGUCCCCUGACGGUAUCUAACCAGAAAGCCACGGCUAACUACGUGCCAGCAGCCGCGGUAAUACGUAGGUGGCAAGCGUUGUCCGGAUUUAUUGGGCGUAAAGCGAGCGCAGGCGGUUUCUUAAGUCUGAUGUGAAAGCCCCCGGAUCAACCGGGGAGGGUCAUUUGAAACUGGGAGACUUGAGUGCAGAAGAGGAGAGUGGAAUUCCAUGUGUAGCGGUGAAAUGCGUAGAUAUAUGGAGGAACACCAGUGGCGAAGGCGGCUCUCUGGUCUGUAACUGACGCUGAGGCUCGAAAGCGUGGGGAGCAAACAGG